UCCGUAGGUGGUUAAUUAAGUCAGAGGUGAAAUCCUGCAGCUCAACUGUAGAAUUGCCUUUGAUACUGGUUAACUUGAAUCAUUAUGAAGUGGUUAGAAUAUGUAGUGUAGCGGUGAAAUGCAUAGAUAUUACAUAGAAUACCAAUUGCGAAGGCAGAUCACUAAUAAUGUAUUGACACUGAUGGACGAAAGCGUGGGGAGCGAACA
rnacentral:rRNA from 1 species